UACGGGGGGGUGCGAGCGUUGUCCGGAAUCACUGGGCGUAAAGGGCGCGUAGGUGGUUUGAUAAGGGUGUGGUGAAAGUCCGGGGCUCAACCCCGGAUCUGCCGUGCCGACUGUUGGGGCUAGAGUACUGUAGGGGCAGGCGGAAUUCCGGGUGUAGCGGUGGAAUGCGUAGAGAUCCGGAGGAAGACCGGUGGCGAAGGCGGCCUGCUGGGCAGUUACUGACACUGAGGCGCGACAGCGUGGGGGAGCAAACAGG
rnacentral:rRNA from 1 species